rnacentral:lncRNA from 1 species
UAACAACUAGAGGCUCUAAAGAACCUGUGUCGCUCACCUUGGUCUUGUGCAUAUUAAACAAUGGACACAGAUAAAUUCAUGACAUAAUUGUGUUUUGGUGAUAGUGAUGUGUUUGUAGAUCCUACUUCACUGAACAUUCUUGUUGCUACAAUUAUCUCUAUCUAUAAUGAACUUUGCCCAGUAAUUACAGUGGAAAAUAUUUUCUAAAAAUUUACAAAAAUUUAUGAAAAAUGUUAAAAAUUAACUAUAAAGGGCAAUAACUCCUUAAGGGGUCAAUUGACUAUUUUGGUCAUGUAAACUUAUUUGUAGAUCUUAUUUUGCUGAACGUUAUUGCUGUAUACAGUUUAUCUCUAUCUAUAAUAAUAUUCAAGAUAAUAACAAACAAGAGGCUGUCACAACGACAGCAAACCGGAUUUAUUUACAUUUAUUUGUGUCCUGGCAAUAUCACAAGAACCAUUACUGAUGAAUGGUGAAAGUGAAAAUCAUCAAUAUCAAAUUUGACCUCCAUUUUGUCAUCAGUAUCAACAUUUUGAAAUAAUAAUAUUUAAAAAGCUUAGAUUGAAUGGUUCAUGAGUAAAUGCAACAACGUGAAUGGAAACGCCAUUUUACAAUCUUUCAAGAACCAUAACUCCUGAACAGUAAAAGUCAAAAUCGUCAUUAUGGAACUUGACCUCUAUUUUGUCAUCAGUAACAACAUAUUAAAAUUUCAAAAGCUUUGGUUGAAUGGUUCAUGAGAAAAUGCACGGACACGACGGGAAACAUCAUUUUUCAAUCUUUCAAGAACCAUAACUCCUGAACGGUAAAAGUCAAAAUCGUCAUUAUUGAACUUGAUCUCCAUUUUGUCAUCAGUAACAGCAUAUUAAAAUUUCGGAAGCUUUGGUAGAACAGUUCAUGCAUAAAUGCACGUACACGACUGGAAACUCCAUUUU